ACCGUUUUAGCCGGGAUGGUCUCGAUCUCCUGACCUCGUGAUCCGCCCGCCUCGGCCUCCCAAAGUGCUGGGAUUACAGGCGUGAGCCACCGCGCCUGGCCGGGGGAGUUUUUUUUAAACAAAAUUCUGGGGACCAUUGUUUUGGACUAAGCUCAUGCACUAGGCCCCAACAGACCAAACCAAACAAAACGGAGUUGCUUGUGUGUUAAGAAAACACAUAGGUUCUAGAACAAACCAGAUUUUGUUUUUUUUCCUGCUGCAAAUCUUUGUAACAAACAUUUUUGAUAGCAUAGGUAUCCACCCCAUGAAGUUCACAAUCUUUUAACCAAAUUCAUUUCCUCUUGCCUAGAGACCAUCAAGCUUCACAUCAUCAUGCAACAAAGGUUCCAGCCAGUUCCAGGUGAAGACACCACCCCUGGCCAUCAAGAAGCUACCUUGCCUUCACCAGACAGAGCAGGAAUUUUUGAGUUGGGUGGAAGUAGUGACUAUAUGAAGCAACUACCACUGAAGGACCAGAAAAGAAUAACGACAAUAUUAAAGAAAACAGCCAUCUUGGAGUCCAGUUAUAUUUUAAUAAAAGUGGCUAUAGCUGAUUUCCACUGUUCUUCAGUUAGUUUCCUGGCUGCUCACAAAGAUUUUCCUGCAUGCCACUGCUCUCCAGGAAUCUACCAACAUUCACGUAGACUUCUCAAUGAAUGGCACGGAAAGUUUCUUCUUAAGUUACUUCAGGCCAUCUGGAUGUAUACGUGCAAGUCACAGGGGAUGUGAUGGCUUGGCUUGGGAUCAGAGACCUGACAGUUAUCAUCCUUGUGAGCCAAGAAGAUUGAUACAUGACUGGAGCCUGAAUGGUAGAACUUUUUCAGAAGUGAGGAGUCUGUUGGCCCAGAAGAUCUGCGCAUUUUUUUCAAAGAGACUCUAGAGUCUAAAAUGAACAACCAAUCAAUUCUACAAACAUUGCAUCAUGAGGAGUUGCUGCACCUCUUCUCCAGGAUUUGCAAAACGUGUAGUCCAAAUCGAGUUCGGCUAGAACUGGUCUGUCAUCAAGAUAUGGCUCAUGAAAGAGAUUGGUGUUUAGGAGGCUGGGAAAAGGAAAUAUUUUGAGAGACUUCAUGUGCUCCGCACAUGGAGGUGGCUUCCUUUUGCCUCAGGUGAAGGGAGCUUCAACAAGAUCACUCAGAGUUUGAUCAAUGAUCUUAGAAUUUGCAGAACAUAGGGACUGCCAUUUGACUCACCCUUUAGAAGUCAGGAGGAAAGGUUACGUGGCUGGCACUUCUCAUGUCUGGGAAGGAACAACUGUGAAGUGCUGACCUAGACGAAUGUUGCACUUCCGCUGAUGAGUAGGCAAUGGCGAAUGUUUUCCAGGGUCCAAAUGUGGACCCGGCAACAGAGAGGCUGUCUGUAAUCACUUUAUAAGAGACACUAACAACAAUGACCACUGGGACUAAAGAGAGCACAACGGAAGUAGUUCUGCCAGAAGGGCUGAGGAGAGGGCUGAGCAACCACCCUCAGGGGAGGCAGACCCACAUCAAAGACAUCUCAGCAGUCCCUUUCCCAUGAAAGAAAGAGCUAGAAAUUGUCCAUUUGACACACACACAAACCAGAUCCCAGAUUGCAAUUGAUUCAGAUAAUGAAAAGCUUGUUCUUUUCACUUGCUGUUCUAGCCUAACCAUGUAGGUGUCAGAAGCAGUUGUAGGCUAGGAGAGAAGUCGGAGCAAUACAGAAGCCAGUUCUGCCUUUGCCUCAAGAUCCACUGUCCACUCAGAGGCAGGCUGGCACAUGGGGGAUGAGAACAUUCCAAGAAAGAUGUGAAUCUGGAAUUUUCAUUUAUGCAGUAGAUGGGGAUUUACUACUGAAAGGAACAUGUUUUGGCAACUAAUAGUGACCAAAAGAAUUUGUACUUACUAAAAAUUAUCUUAAAAGCAUGGGAUUACCCUAGCAUUUUGUUUCAGAAACUGAAAUUAACAGAAAACUAUAAAAUUACUUUCUGCCUGAAACCUAAGAAGGUGAACUCAUGCCAGAAACCAGUUACAUUCACAAUUACCUGGAUUUUGUUAUUUCCUACAAUGAAUAAAACUUAUUAUAAAGCAGAAAAGCCAUCGCUGUUUGUGUACAUGUUUGUGCGUGUGUGCACAUGCAUGUGUGUAUCAGACGUGUAUCAGUGUAACCACCUGAUGUCAAGACAAAUGAUCAAUUCUG
rnacentral:lncRNA from 1 species